ensembl:lncRNA
UUGCCAACGUCUAUGUCAGGUCUUCUUUGCAUGGGUGCUGAGACUGCAAAACCCAGAGACCCAUGGCCCCUCUCAGCACUGUUUUAGCUAUCUUCCAGCUGCACAAGCAUUGAAAAGCUCCAAAAAAUAUCUAAUGAGGCAGAUGAAAAGACACAGGCUCGGGCUCUUGGCUAGCACUGUAGCUGCUUUGUAGGGAUAGAGAGGAUGAUCGCAAGAAUUCUUUGUAUCUCACAACCUGAUGAGGUCAGUAACAACCCUGAUUUUUCUGCACUCCUGAAGCAGAAGAGCUUCUUUGUCGACAGCUGAGAAGACCCUGAAGAAUCCAAGAUGAGGUGCUGGAUGCUCAGCGCUUUCCCCUUGCCUAUGGCUGAAUGUCGGCCGAUGCUGUUUGCUAAACAAGAGUGCCGGUGGCAGAGGAAUUAGAAGAAAUCCCUUCUUAAUUGGAAACAGGACAAAUCCAGGCAAACGGGUGCUGAGCCAGCAACAGCAUGGGACCAGCUCGCCUUCUGUGGGUAUCAUUGAAAUUCAGCAUCCUUCACUGCCUCAAACAUUGAGGUCCUGCAGGUAUGACUUUGCUUCAUGUGGAUCUCCAAAGUUGCUAAAGAUGCUAAUGAACCUCUACUGUAAGGUCUGAAAUCAUCCAGGAUGACAGCAGAUCUUUCCCAAAGGCUGCCCAGGUCAGGAAGGGGGGGAACUGCAGAGGCAAAGCAGGAGGAAGUAAGAAGGAUGCUUGUCCCAGUGCCCUACUCAACUACCUUCUCUGGCGUGGCUUUGAGGGGGGCCCAGAGGUGGAAGGAGUGGAAAUCUGGCUCCAGGUGGCAGUCCUGAUUUGCAUGUCCACUCUUUGGAGCUCCCAAGCACCUCCUUAGGCAGUUGACCUGAUCACAGGUAGUGGGGUACUGAGCCACGUUGGAGCCUUGCUAUUGUAGCUGCAGCGUACUCUGGGGAGAAAAAUAUGGAAGGGGGAGGCUUGUAUCUCCUUGGAAAAAGCUGGGGUGUGCAUUUGGCUUUCUCCUGAGUCUUCUUGUUUUGCCUCUGAGCUGCCCCCUCCUCAUGCAUUCCUGCACAAACCCCCUUUGUUUGCUGCCCUCAGUCAGGAUCCAGGCAGCAACAGCCCAGAUGUUCCCUAUCAAACUCAGAGCCAUGCCAACAAACUUUGGCACACAUGAAAGUGUGCUGAGGAAUGGGCCUCUGCAAAUACCAUUCUUUCCCCCCUUCCCAUUCCUGCAAGUAUUUUUAAAUGUUAAUGGCUUCCAUGCCGCAACAGCCCAUGGGGGACUGCAAAUUAAUGGUGAGGGGCAAAUCUGUCCCAACUUUGAAACCCUGGCCCUCGUUCCUGCAGUGUGGUUUUCCCGUGGGUGAUGGUGCAUGGAGGGAGCAGACACAGCUCAGCCUGUAGAGGAGAAAUCCCAGUAAAACUGGAUGAUUGCGUGAGUCCAAUGGAUAGUCUCUGCCCAUUGGUGCUGUUGUUCCUUUCCCACCUCCCCACACUGACAGGCUAAGGAGGUGAUGAAUGAGGGUGGUGAACCCCUCACCCUUGAUCAGAGAUGAUCUCCUUGAGGAGUGCAUCCAGGUUUCCAUCCUGGAACAGUACCCUUCUCUUUUUGCACAUGAAGGGAUGGUGCAAGCCGUAGGUCCUUGUCUCAGACAUGGGCUUGGAGAUAAAUGGAACUUGGAGGAAAGGCGAAGGUAAAGAGGCAAGAAAAGAAAAAAUGGUCUGAGCUGAUGAAAGCUGCUUUCUUGCUCUGGAGAUGGAGAAUGGGGAGGUGACAUGGUUAUUCACAGUAGGUUUGCAGGGACUGCUUCUAGAAAGCAGGAGCUGAGCACCAGCUCUUGGUUCCCUUCAUUAAGGAGGGAAGGCAGCACACUAAAUUUGCCAGUAAAAUAGUAAUAAUAAUAAUAAUAAAAAAAAUCCAUAGCUCUUAAACUAUCCUGUUUAAAAAUAAUAAAAAUUAAGAGGUACUUGCCAUUUCACGUCGUCUGGUUUAGCUGCAGGGAGCAACAUGGCCCUGAGAGCUAACCUGCUGGAGCAGAUCCCCACUGUGUUCAAAGGCAGUGGGGAGACCUGAGUUUGCUUUCAGGCUGGGGCUGCUGAGGGUUUUGAAGCCCUGAGCAGGUUUUCAAAGAUCUUUUUUUUUCAUGGCCAAGCAGUCUGGGGGAAAAAUAUAUGGCUGAAUUGGCAUGAAGGGAAGGAUCCAGAUGCUCCCUGGGUUACACUGUGGCCUCUGCAGAAAGGCUGCAGUCUUGGGCUUUCUAUAAAACCUGGAGGAGAAAGGUCCUGUCUGUGAGCACAGACAGUCUGCUUCCCUAAGCGAGGCUGAUUCCAACAGUUGAUCUUCAUUUAAUGCUCCCAAGCCAGAUGAAAAAAUGCAGACAGUCUUAGUGUGUAUGUAAGGGGGUUUCUAGUUGCUGGUGCACAGGUGUUGCUACACAGAUGAUGUGGAAGUACCCUGAUGUAUGCUGGCUAAAUAACCCUGCUUUUCCAAGGUUAUCGUGUUGGAUUAAAAGGUAAUGCUGGCUUGGUCUCAGCUGCAAAGCUCGGGGUAUCAGUUUUGUCCUCUUCAACCCAUCUUCAGUCUGUUUGGGAGCACAUUGCUACACUGAGCACGCAGACAGGAAUUGCGGAGCCUUUCCUCCUGCUAGGAGAGGAAUCUGGAAACGAUUACAAGCUGCUCAUGCUUAAUCAUUGGGUGAAUCUUAAAUGCCUGGCUUAAUAUUUUGCAGGACUGAAGAUGGCAUCUGAAUUUUUGUGGUGUGCAGGUUACAUGGCAGAGCAUGUGGGCCUGGAUGGUUUUGUUGUGUGUGUUUGAGGAGCAGCUGGUCCUGAGGACCCCAUGCUUCCUCUGAAGUCUAGGUACAAUUUCAAAGGAAACCCAAAAUGCAAAGGGGAGGGGGGGUGGUGGAAAAUGGAACUGUUUUGUCUGAUAUUUGUGCAAACUGGCAGCUCCGCCAUGUUCUUGUGAGCCUUACUGAGUCUGGUCAUUUCUACUUCAAACUGAAUUAGAGAGUGUUACAUGAGUUAAAAAAUGAAAUCUCCUGGGAAAAGGAUGGAAACCAAAAUAACUCCCAGUUCUGGGCUGGAGUCAGUCAACGACAAGGCAAAACAAUAGGCAUCCUUCUUUUCUUCCUUAAAUAUCAGAAUGCUUCACAUCGGCAUUCUCAGGCUGAAGCCGUUUGCUUUACUAAAGAUCAGUAGAUGAGUUUAGUAGAUCAGAAGAUGAGUUUUAAAGACAGGUUUUCUUCAUUUGUCGGAUGGACCCUAAUUGAAAAGAAGGAAAAGUUGUGGGUUUUAGUUUUGACUUCUCUUAAAGAUUAAAUAGUCUCCUUUGUUACUGGUCAGGCAGAAUAUUUCUCCUUGACCCCAAAUGAAAUGAGUUUUUCUGAUUGUACUAAAAAAUAGUUCAUCUUCACCUUGGCUCCAAAACUAGGAUUUUUCCACCAAUGCUUUUACUUUGGUGACCAGAAGAAACCCAUCAUCCUUGUUUUCACCUUACUGCUGCAGUGUUAAAGGGUCUAAUUUUGGUUGCCCCUAUUUUAAUUGGGGCAUUCCUUACCGAAGUGAUAAUUUAUUGCUAGCUGAGAUCUGCGACAUCCAUGUUCACAGCCAGGGCGUGGUACAGAUCUCUCUCCAGCAAUCUUGGAUUCCUCAUCAAAGAGCUGCUAAGCUUCCCUGGCCUUCAGCCUGCUUAUUUACAGUCUUUAUAGCUCAGGCUCAGAACUUGAUGCUAACUAACGAAGGUUUGGAAAUCUUCAUUAACACAUGUGGCCCUGGUAAGCCUUGGGGGUGUCAGUCAGGCCUGCAGUUGUGCCAGGACUUAACUAAAGAAAACUCUUCCCUUGGAGAAACUGCUGUAAAGUAGCUUCUACCAGAACAUUUUGGAGGGCUCCUGCCUUGGAGGGGUGAUUUUCCAAAGUCAUGAAAGGCAGUUACUUUCUAGAGCCUUGGUAAGAGCCAAGCUCUCUGCAUUUCAGCAGUCCUUUGAAGACCUCCUCCAAACCCUACCUUGGUAAAUGGCAGUUUCUCACUGAAGAUCACAUGAGCUCCUUUUUUUGUUGUUGGUGUUUUGGGGUUUUUUUGAGCUUGUUGUGGAGGAACCAUCAAGGUUUGGCAUUGGGAGUGUAAUCUUAGCCGGCAUCAUCAACCCUUUUUUGCUAGGGCCUGGGGAACCUGCCCAAACCCUGGAUGGAGGUGUUCAUUUGAGUGUUCUUUCAGCCCCACAAGCCAAAAAUGAGCCAAAGCAGUGCAAGCUGAUUAAUUGCUGCAUUUAUGUACACCAGCAGCAGAGGUAUCUUGUGGGGAUACAGCAGGAUGGGAGCAGGGUUCCACAUUGCUCCCUGAGGGCUACCACCACCUUACCUGCAACUGGGAGUUGUGUAACCCCAGGUUGCUGAGUUAUGAUGGUGUCAAGCUAGGAGAGGUGAGGAGACAGCAUCCUCCAGGACGUGUAACUGGAAGGAGAUACAUGAAGUGGCCAUAACUCAUUUUGGACUUGGUGGUCGCUAGUGGGCAUUCUGCAAGUAGUCAGAGGACACUGAGGGGUAUUUGGGGUGACUUUCACAUCAUAUAAGGGUCUACUGCUGGCUCUGAGUUUGGCAAGCAUCCAUCCUUCUGUCUUGCCAUUAGAAGAGGAUGAUUUCCCAUGCUGACUGUUGAAAAGCCGGCUGCCACCAGGGAUGGCACAGCCAUGUCUGUGUAUGGAGUGAUGAGGCUGUGACAGCUGAAGGAGGAGGUGGGAACGGUGUGGGAAGCAUCCUGGUCAUGGGAACAAGGCUGAGAUCCAAUGGGCUGGCAACAAUCAUUCAGCACAGAGAGGUCAAAAUUUCUGUACAGCAGCCUGGACCCAUGGGGCAUCGAUGGAUCUGCAUCUCCUCUAGAGCUUGUGUGGGGAUCCACACAUCUGAAACCACUGAAAGCCACAUCUCGUUAUCCCAGGACUGCAUUGACCUCUGCUCUGUCUUGCCCAGCGGAUGUUUAUUCUUAAAACUAUCUGGUGGUGGAGACCCUGUGCUCUUCUGAAGCUAUUUCUCUCAACAUUUUGCUGCCUGAAGUGCAUUUCUCAGAUCCAGCUUUUUCCUCCACUUAUCCACCCCAGACUUCUUUACAGCUGCAUUUUAUAUAUUUAAAAACUACUAUCAUGUCGUCUUCCCUGUAAUAGUCUCUGACUGAGACUAAACAACCACAGUUUCUUCACUUGAGCGUGUAACAACAAUUAGUUUGUUUGAUGGAAUUCAGUGUUCUUAGCGCAGCGGUUCUAAUAACUCAUUCUAUGCCAAAACUAACAAACAUUUCACAAUUUUCUCUUCAAAUCUCUAGUUUUAUUAAUUGUUUUGUCAAUUAAGGUUACAAUUUUAACACAAGUGGUAAAAAAAUUAAAUCAAUUGCUUUCUGAUUUUUCUAUGUGUUUGAAUUAUGGCAUCCACUGAGCAAUGCAGUUGGGAAAACUAAAGAAACAUCAUGAAAUAGUUAACGUGGUUUUUAAAAAGUAUUCAUUUAGAGACAUUAAAAGAUACUUUUAGAGUUAUUAGCUGCGAAAAUAAUUCUUCAGCUAUAUGAAAAUAUAUAGCAAUAAUUGCUAUAGUGUUCCACUUGUUUCACUACUUAGCUCUGGCUUUGCAAUCCAAAGUGGUACAUUUGAACAUAAAUUUACUCAAGAUUAUAAGAUGAAUUUCAAUUUACCAAAAAGUAUAUGUAGGAAUUUGUAAAUUAUAUAUAAUUAAAAAUGCAUAUUACAUACUGUAUAGCAAACAGGUAUACAGGUGUUGGACCAGAGAGAUUAUCAUGUUACAAAGGAGAAAUGAAAUAAAGAUCUUACCUGUGUCCUGGGCUUGCAGAAGGGCUCCAAGAGGAAGGAUCUCCUGAGAGAGAUCCUUCCUCCUUGGGAGUCAGCCCUUAAAUGGGGUCUAGGAGGGGUGGAGCCAGGCUUCUGGUCACUCAGGUGAAAUUGCAUUCACCUGUGCCCCUGGAGCUGACUCAGUGCUUGCCUCAAGUGGUUAAUGAGAGGUUCAGGCUGUGAUUCAACAGUUCCCAUACACAUACUAAGCUUUCUUUCAGUUCAGAUUUUAUUUUUUGGAAAUAGCAUUUUUCUUAAGGAGAAAAAACAAAGGAUUGUAUUGGAAACUUCUACAGCCCCACACCAUCUUCACAUCCCACACCUUUGGCUGCUCCAGGACUUUCUUUUGGUUCAGAGCUGCCCUCCCCGUAGCCCUGCAGCAUCCUGCAAGGAGAGGAGAAACCUGCUGGGAGUACAUGCCCCCUCUUCACUGAGAUUUGAGAAGUAAAACUUGGCCCUUGUGAAGUAAAAUAGCUGUGGUUUCAAACUGUAAGGGUCACAGGAUUGCCCCUGAGGGUUCUGUGAAUGGUGGCUCAGAGGAGAUGAGGUCAUAGCCUUAAACUUCCUAUGUAAGAGUGUACCUCUUUGCUAUGAAAUGCAUAAAGGUCUGCAAAUCAAACAAUGUUGAAAACCACUGGUUUCCAGGGUUUAAGAAGCAGUCUUCCAGUGUAGUUUUCUCACCUGUUAGCUCUUUAGAUAAGUGAGUUUCUCUUUCCCUUUAAGAAAUUCCAGAAAGCCAAGACUGCUGCAGUGCCAGAAAUGAUGGUGCUCAUUUGAUUCCAGCUUAGGAGAACAGAUGCUGGGAAGAUGAGGCCAAGGCGGAACGGGGCAUACAGCACCUCUGUUAGCCUAUCCUGGAGCUGAGAUCCUGUAAUACAGUGAUUAACCCAUGUGAUUGUCUAUCUCAUGGCACAGGGAGCCUCAUCCUGCUAUGUGCUGAGCUCCAUAUUCCUAAUGCUGGAUUAGAGGUAUGUUGAUGCUGAGUCAGGCGUCUUCUUGGCACUGCCCUGGUGAGGCUUGGUUAAAGGCUGUGGCUCUAGCACGUGGCUGAGGUUAAGCACAGGCUUGCAUGCUGGUUUGGAUCAGGUCCUGGGGCUCAAUGAGACUGAUUUCCACCUUGGUUUCUGUGUCUGGUGUUCCUUAAUGGAGAGUCUCGGGGGGUAUUUAGCCAGGAAAAAAAAAAAGAAGCUGAAUGCAGAGACCAGUGCUGAUGCUAUGCUCUCAGUUAUCUAAUCCACGUUCUCCUGGACCACAAGAAAAUUCCAGUUGCCUUCACCAGGCUGCAGGGGAGGAGGGCCUCAAGUGCGCUCGUUUUCAGUGCCAUGCUGAGAAGUUAAUUACUUGAAUUAAUUACUCAUCUUAGGUUCAGAACCUCCUGGAUAGUGCAGCUGAGAAUCAGCAAAAGAAACUUUCAUAGCAUGAAUGUGAAAAGUGUCCUCUAAAGGAGAAAUUAAUUCUCAAAAGGCAGGGCUGGCUCCUUGCUCACACGUUAACCUGGCUUGGCUGGACAUGGUGAUUUGGCUCUGAAAAACAAAAAUGCAGUUUGAACUAAACCAGUGUCAGGAAGGUCCUGGUACAAAUUGUGUCCAUCCUGGGUUGAAAUGUCAGCUGAGGUCUGACCCUGAGGCCCGCCCUAGAGAGUCAGAUUUGCCGGUCUGUGAUGACAAGUCCAUCAUGAUCUGGGAAUCUCAAAAGAACAAAAUGUGAUCUCAUGCUACUUGCAGCUUCAGGAGACAGCAGGCUAAAUAGACCAACAGAAAACAGACACCGAAGGCACGGACUUAACCAGGUCUUCUCAUGAGGUAGCAGCUCUUGAAUCACAAAAUGAUAUGUAAAUCCAACCUGGCCCCAGAUGUAAAAGGAAGGUUUGGGUUGUCAUCUCUAUCCCAAAGUGGGAAUGGAAAAUAAGGUUUCUAUUUUCUCUUCAUUCAGCCUUGUCCAACCUGUGUUUGCUUAGAAAAUACUUUUUCCUAGGUGUCAAACAUUAGUUUCAUGCUAAGCUCACAGGCCUUUAAUCAGCCAGGGAACACGAACAGCCUCCAUUUGCUGAAUCUGCUGCUGGUAAAUGCCCUGUGAAAUGACUUCACUGGGUUAUAAUUGUUCCUGGAGAAGGCUGGCCCAACUGCUGGUAAUUAAACCUUUGGCUGAUGGAAACUGUUAAAGCAGAUUGCUGCUUUGCCUAUAGCAUUGUAGUUAACAACUCAAAAGUCUUUAUACUUUUUCUAUAAAACACAUGGGAGUUUUAUGCCUGGAAUAUCUGCUGCAAUAAAGAGAAUAUGGUGCUUCAUUUUUGUUUGCAGCAUUAAAACUUGGAAGAGAAGAAAGAACUAAGGUUCAGGAAUGAGGUCUGGAGUUAGUGCUUCAUGAGGCUCGUUCAGUUGGUACCUGUGGUUUCGGCACAGCCCAUGGCAGGGAUUUAGGUAUCAAGACAGAUUUAGAUUCCUGAUUCCAGUACAGGCAUCUACAAGGGAAUUAAGUGUCCUAUGAGGCUGGCUAGCACUGAUGCAUCGUAAAAUUCCAGUUGACACCUGGUUCUGCUAUCUGGGCUUCCUGGAUUUUGAGAGCAUGUGAGUCAAGGCAGGAUUAUGGUUCUCAUUCAAUCUCUUCUGUGCUCGGUAAAGUUUCCCAGAGCAAGCUGUAAUCCGGCCUGAGGGGCCGUCCUGCACCCUCAAGCCCCUGGUUGGUGAUGACCAUGAACAGACCCAGUGAUGUCUAUGACAGAAUGGAGAUAAACGUGCUCUGCUUCUUCUCCACUGGAUGUCUGCCAUGUCUCUGUUUCACCCUGGCCCACAACCAAGCUGCUGGUGAAAAAUAGUGAUGUGCCUGCUCCCCAAAGGCCAAAUCCCAGCAGAAAUAUUUGAAACCUGCAUGCGAGUGGCAGCCCAGGACUCCAUCUCCUCUGAGUAGGGUUGGUAUUUAUGAGAUGUGUUAGUCAUGCAGGAGCAGUUAGAAGUGCCGCCACAAUAAAUUGUGAACUCAUACGUGGCCAUCAAAUAAUGAGUUUGUUUUAGGAGACAGCAAUUCUUCAGAGCUUGACUACUCCCUCGCAGACUGGAAACCACAAGGGAUGUUGUUAGGCACUGAAGAACACCCCCCUUUUAUUGCUGAUGAUGUAUUUAAGCCUCCAGCCCACUGGACUGCUUCAGCCAGGCCUGAGGCUUGUGUGUUCCACCUGAUGUUCUCCCAGAGGGAGGUAGGCUCAUCUGCAAGACCUGUGAUAGGCCUCAAGCAGCCGCUACAGUUUGGGCUGGCUGGAAAACACGCAUGCUCUCAUGGCUAGAGAGAGAAUAUUGCUACAUCAGGAGCCCAUCCCUCCCAGAAAGGGACACCUGACUUUGUUAGCACUGAAAUAAUCGUUUCUCACAUUUAAUCUCACAUUUCUUUGUUAUUCUGUAUAGGUUAGGUCUCCACAAUUAUUUGCCAGAGAACACAUGCCCCGGGCUCACAUCUCCCUUACUGUACAGGUCCCAGAGAUGUGCUUUCUGUGCCUCUACAAACACAGUUCUGAGAUGCUGUGGGGAAAAUAUCUCACUGAAACUGCCUAACUCUGACCUACAAAUGGCCGGGGCGUCGUGGUGUUGCUGCUUUAACGCUGCUUUGUUAAGGAGUCCCGCAGACGGGGCCCUGGGCCUGCCUCCGCGGCCUGCUUCUCGCAUCCCUUCAGGCCGCCAUCUUGCGCCACCGCGUCGCCAUGGAAACGCGAAGCCCCACCGCGUCGCCAUGGUAGCCCGAAGGCCCCCCGCGCUCCCGGCCGGG